rnacentral:rRNA from 1 species
GACGAACGCUGGCGGCGUGCUUAACACAUGCCAGUCGAACGGAAAGGCCCUGCUUUUGUGGGGUGCUCGAGUGGCGAACGGGUGAGUAACACGUGAGUAACCUGCCCUUGACUUUGGGAUAACUUCAGGAAACUGGGGCUAAUACCGGAUAGGAGCUCCUGCUGCAUGGUGGGGGUUGGAAAGUUUCGGCGGUUGGGGAUGGACUCGCGGCUUAUCAGCUUGUUGGUGGGGUAGUGGCUUACCAAGGCUUUGACGGGUAGCCGGCCUGAGAGGGUGACCGGCCACAUUGGGACUGAGAUACGGCCCAGACUCCUACGGGAGGCAGCAGUGGGGAAUAUUGCACAAUGGGCGGAAGCCUGAUGCAGCAACGCCGCGUGCGGGAUGACGGCCUUCGGGUUGUAAACCGCAUUCGCCUGUGACGAAGCGUGAGUGACGGUAAUGGGUAAAGAAGCACCGGCUAACUACGUG